GACGAAUGCUGGCUGCGUGCUUAACACAUGCAAGUCGAACGGUGAAGGAGAGCUUGCUCUCCGGAUCAGUGGCGAACGGGAGAGUAACACGUGGGCAACCUGCCCCUCACUCUGGGAUAACGCCGGGAAACCGGCGCUAAUACCGGAUACGACCAGGCGCGACAUCUCGCCUGGUGGAAAGAAUUUCGGUGAGGGAUGGGCCCGCGGCCUAUCAGCUAGUUGGUGGGGUAACGGCCCACCAAGGCGACGACGGGUAGCCGGCCUGAGAGGGCGACCGGCCACACUGGGACUGAGACACGGCCCAGACUCCUACGGGAGGCAGCAGUGGGGAAUAUUGCGCAAUGGGCGAAAGCCUGACGCAGCGACGCAGCGUGAGGGACGAAGGCCUUCGGGUUGUAAACCUCUUUCAGCGGGGACGAAGCGAAAGUGACGGUACCCGCAGAAGAAGCACCGGCUAACUACGUGCCAGCAGCCGCCGUAACAC
rnacentral:rRNA from 1 species